rnacentral:rRNA from 1 species
AUUGAACGCUGGCGGCAGGCUUAACACAUGAAAGUCGAACGAGUGGGGGACGGGUGAGUACUGCUUGGGAAUCUAGCUUAUGGAGGGGGAUAACUACGGGAAACUGUAGCUAAUACCGCGUACCCUAGGAUGAGCCCAAGUUGGAUUAGGUAGUUGGUUAGGUAAAGGCUCACCAAGCCGACGAUCUCUAGCUGGUCUGAGAGGAUGACCAGCAAAACUGGAACUGAGACACGUGCCAGCGUCCUACGGGAGGCAUGAGUGGGGAAUAUUGCGCAAUGGGGGCAACCUGACGCAGCCAUGCCGCGGGAAUGAAGAAGGCCUUCGGGUUGUAAAGUUCUUUCGGUAGCGAGGCGUUAACUACAGAAGAAGCACCGGCUAACUCCGUGCCAGCAGCCGCGGUAAUAC